AGAAUACUGAAACAUGGGUUCCAAAUGUUCAAUCCUCAACGAUACUCAACGCGUUGUAUGGAUCACACACGGAAUAAAUUGGCCGUCUUUUGUUGCUGUCGUUAGUUUCCUGUUGUCCCUAGCUACAGUGUGUGCCGGUGCGAUAAAUAUACACGCGGGGAAGGCGCUUGCUAGCUGUUUUCGAUGGUUUCAUUGGAAAGCUUCUAUUGUGUGGUACGAACGAAGCUCAAAAGAAAAGAGCAGAUAGGGCUUCGGCUAAAUUGAUCAAGCCUGGUGAAAAGUACACGUGGUCUGGUACACUAUCUCUCCACAUGCGUGUCUAUGUUAUGAACGAUAACCUACAGUAUGACGACAGAGCGUGUUUUACUGGUCCCACUGCAGGCUCCGAGUACGUCUACCCCAUUUCCGAGUAUUUUAAAAAGCUCGACGUGAAGACCG